rnacentral:rRNA from 1 species
CCUACGGGAGGCAGCAGUGGGGAAUAUUGCGCAAUGGGCGAAAGCCUGACGCAGCGACGCCGCGUGGGUGAUGAAGGCCUUCGGGUUGUAAAGCCCUGUCGGGUGGAACGAACGAUCUGGCGGCGAAUAACCGCCGGGUGUGACGGUACCCCCGAAGGAAGCCCCGGCUAACUACGUGCCAGCAGCCGCGGUAAGACGUAGGGGGCGAGUGUUGUUCGGAUUUACUGGGCCGACUGCGUAAGUAGGCUGUGAAAUCCCUCGGCUUAACCGAGGUACCGCAUCCGAUACUGUCUGGCUCGAGUCUAGGAGAGGAAAGCGGAAUUCCCAGUGUAGCGGUGAAAUGCGUAGAUAUAGGGAGGAACACCGGUGGCGAAGGCGGCUUUCCGGACUAGUACUGACGCUGAGGCGCGAAAGCUAGGGGAGCGAACGGGAUUAGAUACCCCGGUAGUC